rnacentral:rRNA from 1 species
UAAGGAAUAUUGGUCAAUGGACGAAAGUCUGAACCAGCCAUGCCGCGUGAAGGAUGACGGCCCUCUGGGUUGUAAACUUCUUUUAUCUGGGACGAAAAAAGAUCAUUCCUGAUCACUUGACGGUACCAGAGGAAUAAGCACCGGCUAACUCCGUGCCAGCAGCCGCGGUAAUACGGAGGGUGCAAGCGUUAUCCGGAUUUACUGGGUUUAAAGGGUGCGUAGGUGGGUCUGUAAGUCAGUGGUGAAAUCUCCGGGCUUAACCCGGAAACUGCCGUUGAUACUACUUGUCUUGAAUAUUGUGGAGGUAAGCGGAAUAUGUCAUGUAGCGGUGAAAUGCUUAGAUAUGACAUAGAACACCGAUUGCGAAGGCAGCUCACAAAACUGUAACUGACACUGAGGCUCGAAAGUGCGGGGAUCAAACA